CCUACGGGAGGCAGCAGUGAGGAAUAUUGGUCAAUGGACGAGAGUCUGAACCAGCCAAGUAGCGUGAAGGAUGACUGCCCUAUGGGUUGUAACCUUCUUUUAUAUGGGAAUAAAAUGUUCCAAGUGUGGGAUUUUGUAUUUACCAUAUGAAUAAGGAUCGGCUAACUCCGUGCCAGCAGCCGCGUUAAACCGGAGGAUCCGAGCGUUACCCGGUUUUAUGGGGUUUAAAGGGAGCGUAGGUGGAUGGUUAAGUCAGCGGUAAAAGCCCGGGGCAAAACCCGGGCGAGCCGUUGAAACUGGCUGUCUUGAGAGGUCGAGAGGUAUGCGGAAUGCGCGGUGUAGCGGUGAAAUGCUUAGAUAGUGCGCAGAACUCCGAUUGCGAAGGCAGCAUACCGGCGGCGAUCUGACGCUGAGGCACGAAAGCGUGGGUAUCGAACAGGAUUAGAUACCCUUGUAGUC
rnacentral:rRNA from 1 species